CCUACGGGAGGCUGCAGUGAGGAAUAUUGGUCAAUGGGCGCGAGCCUGAACCAGCCAAGUAGCGUGAAGGAUGACUGCCCUACGGGUUGUAAACUUCUUUUAUAUGGGAAUAAAGUGUUCCACGUGUGGGAUUUUGUAUGUACCAUAUGAAUAAGGAUCGGCUAACUCCGUGCCAGCAGCCGCGGUAAUACGGAGGAUCCGAGCGUUAUCCGGAUUUAUUGGGUUUAAAGGGAGCGUAGGCGGGUUGUUAAGUCAGUUGUGAAAGUUGGCGGCCGAACCGUAAAAUUGCCGUUGAAACUGGGAGUCUUGAGUAUGCGAGAGGUGGACGGAAUUCGUGGUGUAGCGGUGAAAUGCUUAGAUAUCACGAAGAACUCCGAUCGCGAAGGCAGUUCACCGGAGUACGACUGACGCUGAGGCUCGAAAGUGUGGGUAUCAAACAGGAUUAGAUACCCGUGUAGUC
rnacentral:rRNA from 1 species